rnacentral:rRNA from 1 species
UACAGAGGGUGCAAGCGUUAAUCGGAAUUACUGGGCGUAAAGCGUGCGUAGACGGUAGCGUAAGUCGGGUGUGAAAGCCCCGGGCUCGAACCUGGGAAUUGCAUUCGAGACUGCUCUGCUAGGGUGCGGAAGAGGGAAGCGGAAUUUCCGGUGUAGCGGUGAAAUGACGUAGAUAUCCGGAGGAUACCAAAGGCGAAGGCGAGUGUCCUGGAGGGUGACUGACGCUGACGGCGGCGCAAAGCUAGGGGAGCGAACAGG